rnacentral:rRNA from 1 species
UUAGUUGCCAUCAGGUUAAGCUGGGGACUCUAAAGGAACUGCCUACGCAAGUAGUGAGGAGGCGGGAUGACGUCAAAUCAGCACGGCCCUUACGUCCAGGGCUACACACGUGCUACAAUGGCCGAUACAGAGGGCAGCUACCUGGUGACAGGAUGCAAAUCUCCAAGUCGGUCUCAGUUCGGAUCGGAGUCUGCAACCCGACUCCGUGAAGUUGGAUUCGCUAGUAAUCGCGCAUCAGCCAUGGCGCGGUGAAUACGUUCCCGGGCCUU